AAAACAAAGGAGGGGAAAUAAAUGAAGUUGUUAAUUAAAAAGGAAGCAGGACUUGGUGGAAACACAGCGGAAUGUCCCGGAAUAGAAGCUGUGACUGAGAGCCGCAUGCGGAGUCUGUUCUCUCCCGGGAGAGGCGCCGACGGCAGCGGAGCUGGAGUUUCCAUCCAUAAACACUUCACCUCACAACAGAAAACAACAACAAGCCUGCGUCUUCCGAGCGUCUGUUUCCCGAAUCGCUUGGCAAGGGGAUCCCCAGAGGGACCUCAAAAAUCAUCCUUUUCAAAACAAAGCUGUGUGGCAGAGCACAAGUGGGACCGGGACUCAGACCUGCGCCCUUGGUGGAUUCCAUUUCCCGGUCUCCGUGAUGGAUGGAGACAGGCAGGUGACGGAUGUCAGGGAUGA
rnacentral:lncRNA from 1 species